rnacentral:sRNA from 1 species
UGUCGUGGACGAACAGUGGCGACUCCCUACCA